rnacentral:rRNA from 1 species
UCGAGAAUCAUUCGCAAUGGGGGCAACCCUGACGGUGCGACGCCGCGUGGAGGAUGACGGUCUUCGGAUUGUAAACUCCUGUCAUCGAAGAGUAAGGCUUCACGGUGAAUAGCCGUGAAGAUUGAUAGUAUUCGAAGAGGAAGGGACGGCUAACUUCGUGCCAGCAGCCGCGGUAAUACGAAGGUCCCAAGCGUUGUUCGGAAUCACUGGGCGUAAAGGGUGCGUAGGCGGCGUGGUAAGUCAGAUGUGAAAUGCCGGGGCUCAACCCCGGAACGGCAUCCGAUACUGCCAUGCUAGAGUAGUGGAGGGGCGACUGGAAUUCACGGUGUAGCAGUGAAAUGCGUAGAUAUCGUGAGGAACACUAGUGGCGAAGGCGAGUCGCUGGACACUUACUGACGCUGAGGCACGAAGGCCAGGGUAGCGAAAGGGAUUAGGAUACCCCUGUAGUCCUGGCAGUAAACGGUGCACGUUUGGUAUGAGAGGGUUCGUACCCCG